rnacentral:pre_miRNA from 1 species
CAGAUACUCCCUCCGAUCCAUAUUAGUUGUCAAAAUAUUACAUGUAUCUAGACGCUUUUUAGGUAUAAGUACAUUCAUAUUUGAGCAAAUUUGAGAAAAUUAAUAUGGAUCGGAGGGAGUAGCAU